AUAAUUCUUUCUGAGUUUAAUCAUCAGAUGGCAUUCAUUUUUUAAAAAUAUGUAUAUGGCUUGCUGCUGGUUAUGAGCUGCAUGUAGACUCUCAGGUUGAGGCACCUGUGAUCAUAGAAGCAAAGACCUUCCAGAGCCAACGACCAGGGAAGAACUCUCCAUCAUGUACAGCCUGGAGCAGGAUGCACAAAAUGACAGGUGCAUCUGGUUACAGACUGGAGACUCCCAAAUUGUCACUGCGGUGCGCUGUUAGCAGAGAGACUCUGUGACCUGGUGCCCUAUGUCCCAUCCUCCCACGUAGGAUUCAGCACUUUUUCAUGGGGCCUUGGGUGCGCAGUCUGAAGCCAGUGGAGUAAGGAGGCAGAUGCAGAGGAGAAGCCACCAAGAUGGGGACAGCAUUGCACCCCAGAAUGAAUUUGGAGCUGAGGAUUUAAGAGAGGGCCGCAGAGCCCAGCACAGCACAUGUCUGGAAGCACAAGAAAUCACGAGGCCCACCACAAUAGUCUUCAUCUUUUCAUCUGCCGGGAAUGAAGACCAAUAUGGACGUGUUAAGAAUCACCAAGUCCAGAGAAGAUGGCCCAAUGGUGUGCUUAGGAAGAAACGUGAGGUCUAGAAACCUUCCUGCCACUGCAGGGUGGGGGUGGCUGCAUCCUCCAGGGCCCGCCUCCACCGUGAGUCCUGCCACCUAUCAGAUACCCCUUCUUGUCUCCUGGCUCCUACCUGACUCCCUAUGGGGAAGAGUCGGCACUCCUCCGGGAAGAAUAAACGUGCAGUGCAAAUGUUCAUCUUUUACAAAGCCUGCCGGAAUGGAAUAGACUUAGUAAACAUGGAAUAGACUUAGUAAAAAUACUUUAAUAGACUAUAUCAGUGAUGAAAGCAAUAAGGUUGAAUUUAUCUAGCAGACAUGUGACGCAAAGUCUACUUUUACUUUAGAACAAAAAGUGGGUGAAACUUACAGUUUAAAAAAGCCAGUAUGACUAGGUCUGCAGGCUUAGUGUGAAAGGAAUAAUUUUUUUUUUUUUUUUUGUACUGGGGAUUGAACUCACAUGCAUGCUAGGCAAGCACAGGACUGACUCUCCUGCCGCGCAGCCCUUUAUUUACUUCUUUAUUAAGCUGCUCCAGGUGCGCUGAACUGCUCCUGCGUCUCAGCCUCUGGCGCAGCUAGGGUGACACGCAUACGCCGUGCCGCAAGGCCGAGACCACGCUGCUGCACACGCAGGGCUGGAUUCCCUAAGGUGGAAGCCAGGUCGGGAUCCGUGAGAGUGACACGCCCCGUAGUGUUCUGCUGAGUCAGGUCAGGCGCAGUCCCGAAGUUCCCCUAGGGUUUUAUUAGUUGCAACACCUUUCCCUGGCUGCAGAGUUUCAGCUUACAAAGCAUCUGCCUGAGCGUUCUUUGCCUCCUCACCUGGUCCUGUUGAAACGGGUUUCUGUGUUGUUCCGGGCGAGCUGACCUGCUCAAUCAAGGUCACCCAGCCAGGGCGUGGCUCGGCCCUGCCUCUGACCCUUGGUCUUCCGUCCCACCCUGUCCUGCCCGCUUCUGCAGCUCCCGGAACAGGCCCAGGAAAAGACAUCUCCUUUCCUAGCUCCUCAGACCCUGGGGAAGGGAUCUGGGAGCUGGGCGAGUGGCAGGGCAAAGGGAAAUGGAAAUAAAUGAGCUAGCAUUUAUCAGGUGCCCGCUGAGUCCCCGGCGCCACAAGUUUUACACUUUCUGACACAGGGCCUCUCUGGAGGGGCCUUGGUCAUCUUGUGGCUCCCACAGACCCUGGCAUCCGGUUGGCAUCUUCUUCCACAUUCACUUCGUCUGUACCAGCCAUCAUCUAACCCAUCUUCCAAGAAGGCCUGCGAGGCAGGUAGGGCUGGGCUUAUCCCCUUAUUUAAUAACGAGGCACCAGAAUGUACAUCCAAGCCAGGUGUGAUGCCACACCCUGGAUCCCAGCGCUCCGGAGGCUAAGGCAGGAGAAUGGCAAGCUCAUUCCAGCCUGGGCAGCUGUGCAAUUUAGCAAGACUCUGUUUUAAACUGUUUUUAAAAGUAUUUUUUUUUUAAUAAAAGGCUGAACACAUAGUAGGUCAGUGCAAAGGCUAUGUGGUCAAGUCUGAAGUUCAACCAAACAGAGCCAAAAGGAACCAAACUCGUGUCAACCCAUCCUUUUAUUCUUUUAUUGAAUAUUGAUUAUGAUACCUCUGUGUUCUAGGAACUUUGCAGUGCCCAUACCCACACAGUGCACUAAAGCAGCAAUAUUUUUCUGGAAAUUUCUGGAGGGAAAUGUGUAAACAACAGAAAAAAGGAGAUACUGGGAGGUUUUAAACCGGAAGGUCACACAUGCAGGUUUUGCGGCCGUCGUGACAGGUUACGGCCAGUAGGUGGUGCUCAGGCUCCCAGGAGUCCUUCCAAGCCAAUCUUUCAUUUCAUAUUCAUCGCUGUGUUUAAAAUCAUAUUGAAACGCUGUAUUCAAUUUGAUUUUAAUUCCAUUUAUUUGCCUUUAAUUGUUACAUGCUCUUCUAAAAAUGGCCAAAUUAAAUUUAGUUGUGUCACGGCUUCCUGGGUAAGUGAAAGACAUGUCCAGGAAAUUAGGCUCCUAAAUAAGUUAGCACAUCCAGUGAUUGGUAUUAGGCUGGGGAUUCCUUGCACAGGAAAUGCUCAUGAAAAGGUCUGGAAGAAUACACACCAAAGCAUUAGUUAUGCUACCUCCUGGUGGUGGAAAUACAGAUUAUUAAAAAAAAUUUGUGGACUUCCGGGAGAACAUGGCGGACAGAUAGCAGCAGCUACCCAGGCUCUCUGAAAGACCCAGCUUAGAAUCCAGGAAUGGUGCGGAGUGAGGAAUCCUAAGCAAGAGAGGAGAUAUGCCCUGCUGACCCAAGAACGAACUGGGCUGAGAGAAACCAACUGGGAAUGCAAUCCUGGUGCUAUAACAGGAACAGAUAAAGCCUCAGUGUGAAAACUGGAGCCCGCGCCAUUGGAAACCGCGAUUGGGUUUCCUGCUGCCGCAGCUGCGUCUGAAUCGGCUCUGCAGAGAGACAGCCGUGAAAGCUCUGAGAACGGGAAACGGUGAACAGAGUUGAGAGCAGGACGGGCGGGGAGCCGUGCAUCAACCUGCGGUGAGUGAGAGAAACUGGGACUCUUCCACGAUGUAGAAGGCUCCAAAAGAGGACAUUCUGGGACCGGGCAGACUUGGCGGAACAGGGUGCUGUAGAGACUUCAGUCACAUAUCCCCCUCGCAAGCGGGAUUGGUGAGCAGUGCCUAGCCUACAUGACGCUGCUGGCUGAGACCCAGUAGACUAGCACAGCCCAGGUCCCAGCACCUGAAGGUGAUCUGGAGGGGCAGGCCCUGCAUAGACUGCCUGGUCCGUAACUCGCUGGUGUGCUGCGGUGGGCGGUAACACCUAGCCGGCACAAUUCAAUCAGACUGUGGCCAACAGGGAAGGAAGCUGGGCCUCCUAUAUACGCUUGCAUUUAUAAGGAACAAAGAAUAUGGGAAGAGCAGAGCAACAAGAAAGGCCCCUCGGCCCCCAAUCCUGAGAAACAGGCAAUAGCGGACAUGGCACCAAUAGACAUAAAGCGCUAUCUCCAGAGCCUCAUAGACGAGUUCAGGAAUGAAGUUAUUAAUGACCUGAAGCUAGCAAUAAGCAGAAUAGUUAGAGAAAUGCUAAGCACCACCCAAGAAAAAACAGAGGGUGGAACGGAAGAACAGAAAAAGAGGGGAGAACUGUUUGAUGGAGAAAAUAGAGAAAGCAUAGAAUACGUGAAGCAGGUUCAAAGAUUAUCAGGAAACCGAAAACUGGCAUAACAGCUUGAAAGAAACUAAGGACAGAUUAUCUGAACUGCAGGGCAGAUUUGUAAUAUGGGAGCAUGAAAUGAAAAACUUCUUAAAAAUAACAAAGAAACAAACAGCAAUAAUACAAAGACUAGAAGAUGAUAAGAGGAUCUAUAACUUAAGAAUUAAGAACAUAAAAGAAGAAGUAGGGACACAAACAAAUGAACUACAAAAGCUACUUGCAGAAAUAAUCCAGGAGAAUUUUCCUAAUUUAGCAAAAGAUAAAGAUACUCAGAUGUAUGAAGCAUUCAGGACCCCAGCUACCUACAACCCAAACAGAGCUACACCCAGACAUAUAAUAAUCAAAAUACCAGAAAUGCAAUAUAAGAACAGAAUAUUAAAAGCCGCCAGAGACAAGAAACAGAUCACUUACAAGGGAACACCCAUCAGAAUUACAGCAGACUUCUCAGCACAAACCAUCAAAUCACGAAGAGCGUGGGGGGAAAUAAUUCAAGCUUUGAAAGAUAAUAACCUCCAGCCAAGAUUGAUAUAUCCUGCACAACUAUCCCUGGAAAUCGAUGGAAAAACAAGGUGCUUCCAGGAUAAAGAAGGAACUAGGGGAAUAUGCAACCACCAAUUCAACUCUACAGAGAAUACUGCAGGAUAUUCUAAAAAAGAAAAAUACAAAGAAUCCAGAAAUAGUGGCAGAGAGGCCACAAUGAGUGGAGCAGAAAACAAAAUGAAGAAGACAAACUGACAACUAAUGACAGAAAAAGAGCUCAACAGAAAUGAGGCAGAGAAGAUUGGAUGAUAGGAACAGCUAUUUUGGAGAAAAUGACGUCUUAAUAGGUAAUACUGAUUUAGUAUCAUCUUGUUUUGAAGUCUCAUCAAGCUUUUGUUCUUCUGUCUCCAUUGGUCUUAGCAUGUUGUAUCUUAUUGGAUUUUAUUAUAUGUGAUAGUAUAAAUAAAAACUUUUAUAGACAAGGAGAUUAUACAGAAACCAUUGUUCAUUUUCUGUUAGUUGAUUCUAAAUACCCUGUAAUACUCUCAUUCUCUUGAAUGGUUUUGCAUUGUUUUGAUAUAUUUGAUGCUACAGUAUAUGAAGUUAUACUCAAAGAUUUCAAGGAAAGAGACAAUAUGGUAACUACUUUUUUUUUUUUUUUUUUUUUUGUCUUUUUCCUUUUUUAUCGGUACCAGGGAUCGAACUCAGGACUGCCUGCUUGCAAGGCAGGCGCUUAUGCCGCUGAGCUAAAUCCCCAACCCCCAAUAUGGUAACUACUUUUAUGUCGGGAUUAUCUUGUGGUAAAACACUAUUUUGCUUAAAUGGUUAUGUUUUUUUUUCUGCGCUGUUUUGUUGUUAUGCCCUCUUUUAUCUCAAUCUCCAUUUUUACUUUUUUAUUUUUAUCCUUUUACUUAAGGGUAAAACAAAUAAAAAAUAGCAGGAUAUAUUAUAGUAACCCACUUUGAUUUACUAUUAACUUGAUUUGAAGCCCUGUAUUGCUCUCACCAUCUUGUUUUGACUGAUGUUCCUCUAUUCUGUUUUGCUUGAUAGUACCAGGUUCGAAAAUGUAGGCAACAGCUCUGAAGAUAGUGGGAUUCAUUAUGACGCCCAUUCUGGUUGACUAUUAUCUACUUUUGAAGACCUGUAAUGUCUCCAAUGUUUUGGUUUUGUUGGUUUCAUUCUUUACUGUUUUGUUCAAUUUUAUUAUAACUGAUGAUAUAGGCAAUUCUAUUAGAGAUAGCGGGAGGCAUUAUGGUAACCAUUGUCGAUCACCUUGUAUUAUGUUUUUACAUUUUCUAUUAUGUCCACCCUUUUGAUUUGACUGACUCUGUUCUGUUAUGUCACAUUUGGUUUUACUGUCUUCCAAAAAAAGUAAUAAGAACUGUGGGAGCAAUAAAACCCAAAAUGUGUAAUAGUCAUUGUACAAAAGAGAGGAAAAGAAAGUGCUCUAAACAAUAUAACUGCAUGUAUAUUUAAGUGUAUAAGAUAGACAAUGAUAUUACUGAGUUUUGUUGGAUCAUUGAACAGAACUGUUUGGUCUCACUGUUUGAAUGUCCACUAUAUAAGCUUUAGUUUUGUAACUUGAACAAAUAUUUCUAAGAUGAUAAUAUGUAAUCCAUUAACUAGUGAUUUCCUACUGUUUAUUUUUUUUUCUGAAAUUCUGUAUAACUUGUACCCUUUUUCUGCUUUUUUUCUUUUUCUCCUUAAAUAAAAUUAAAAAAAAAAGAAAAAAAAUUGUGUUGGAGUUUGGUGGCACAUGCAUAUAAUCCCAGCACUUUGGAGACCGAGGCAGGAAGUUAUCUGCCAGUUUGAGACAAGCCUGGGAUACAUAGUGAGUUCAAAGCCCACCUGAACUGCAUAGAGGCCAUGUCUCAAAAAAAAAUUUUGUCUACUUUUGACAUUUUUUUAAAAGAGCAUGUUUCGCUUUGCUUGUCUUAAAUGUUUUAUCAGAGUUUAAUCUGCCAAUGGAAAAGUACACAAAUCUUACAGCCUUGAAAUUCCCUAUGUAUUUAUGCACACAUAGGACCACCAUCUGGAUCACGAACUAAAAGAUAGUUUAGAGCCCCAGAAUGUUCCUGCAUGGCUCUUCCCAAUGAUCCCCCACUCCCAGGAACCGGUAUUCUGACAUCUGUCACUAUAGAGCAGUUGGGACUCUUUUGUGAACUCCUUAUAUGUAGUAUCACAUCGGAUGUUCUCUAUAAUGUUUCAACUCUUUUAUUUAUUCAAGUAAAUGUAUACAAAUAUAUAUUAAAAACUUAUC